rnacentral:rRNA from 1 species
UAUAGUGGCAAACGGGUGAGUAACACGUGAAUUAUCUGCCCUUUAGUGAAGAAUACCCUCGAGAAAACGAGGUUAAUACUGCAUAAGCCUGAGGUAAAACUUAGGGAAAGCUGGCCUCUUUGCUAGCGCUGAAGGAUGAGUUUGCGGUCUAUUAGCUAGUUGGUAGGGUAAAGGCCUACCAAGGCAAUAAUGGAUAGCCGGCCUGAGAGGGUGUACGGCCACAUUGGGACUGAGAUACGGCCCAGACUCCUACGGGAGGCAGCAGUGGGGAAUAUUGCGCAAUGGGGGAAACCUUGACGCAGCGACGCCGCGUGGAGGAUGAAGGUCUUCGGAUUGUAAACUCCUGUUAAGUGGGAAGAAAUGGCAAAAUUUAAUACAUUUUGCAGCUGACGGUACCACUAGAGAAAGCACCGGCUAACCUCGUGCCAGCAGCCGCGGUAAUACGAGGGGUGCAAGCGUUAUUCGGAGUUACUGGGCGUAAAGAGCGCGUAGGCGGCUUGUUAAGUUGGUUGUUAAAGACCCCGGCUCAACCGGGGAAGUGCAGCCGAUACUGGCGAGCUAGAGGGCAAGAGAGAGAGGUGGAAUUCUCGGAGUAGCGGUAAAAUGCGUAGAUCUCGAGAGGAACAUCAGUUGCGAAGGCGGCUUCUUGGCUUGUUUCUGACGCUAAGGCGCGAAAGCGUGGGGAGCAAACAGGAUUAGAUACCCUGGUAGUCCACGCCGUAAACGAUGAUCACUAGAUGUUGGUUUCGCUUAGCGAGAUCAGUGUCGUAGCUAACGCGUUAAGUGAUCCGCCUGGGGAGUACGGUCGCAAGAUUAAAACUCAAAGAAAUUGACGGGGGUCCGCACAAGCGGUGGAACAUGUGGUUUAAUUCGACACUACGCGAGGAACCUUACCUAGACUUGACAUGUUUUUGACACCAAUGGAAACAUUGGGUUCCGUGUUUACACGGACAGAUUCACAGGUGCUGCAUGGCUGUCGUCAGCUCGUGUCGUGAGAUGUUGGGUUAAGUCCUUUAACGAGCGCAACCCUUGCUGCUAGUUGCUAUCUCUUCGGAGAGCACUCUAGUGGGACUGCCUUGGAAACAAGGAGGAAGGUGGGGAUGACGUCAAGUCCUCAUGGCCUUUAUGUCUAGGGCUACACACGUGUUACAAUGGCGAGUACAACGGGACGCUAAGCCGCGAGGUGGAGCAAAUCCUGCAAAACUCGUCUAAGUUCGGAUUGAAGUCUGCAAUUCGACUUCAUGAAGUUGAAAUCGCUAGUAAUCGCAUAUCAGAACGAUGCGGUGAAUACGUUCUCGGACCUUGUACACACCGCCCGUCACACCACGAAAGUUGUCAGCACCCGAAAGCACUUUAGCUAACCUUUUAGGAGGCGAGUGAUGAAGGUGAGGAUAAUGAUUGGGGUGAAGUCGUAACAAGGUA